GAUGAAGAACGUAGCGAAAUGCGAUAAGUAGUGUGAAUUGCAGAAUUCAGUGAAUCAUCGAAUCUUUGAACGCACAUUGCGCCCCUUGGUAUUCCAUGGGGCAUGCCUGUUCGAGCGUCAUUUGUACCUUCAAGCUCUGCUUGGUGUGGGGUGUUUGUCUCGCCUCUGCGUGUAGACUCGCCUCAAAACAAUUGGCAGCCGGCGUAUUGAUUUCGGAGCGCAGUACAUCUCGCGCUUUGCACUCAUAACGACGACGUCCAAAAGUACAUUUUUACACUCUUGACCUCGGAUCAGGUAGGGAUACCCGCUGAACUUAAGCAUAUCAAUAAGCGGAGGA
rnacentral:misc_RNA from 1 species